rnacentral:rRNA from 1 species
GACGAACGCUGGCGGCGUGCCUAAUACAUGCAAGUUGAGCGCUGAAGGUUGGUACUUGUACCAACUGGAUGAGCAGCGAACGGGUGAGUAACGCGUGGGGAAUCUGCCUUUGAGCGGGGGACAACAUUUGGAAACGAAUGCUAAUACCGCAUAAAAACUUUAAACACAAGUUUUAAGUUUGAAAGAUGCAAUUGCAUCACUCAAAGAUGAUCCCGCGUUGUAUUAGCUAGUUGGUGAGGUAAAGGCUCACCAAGGCGAGGAUACAUAGCCGACCUGAGAGGGUGGUUGGCCACAUUGGGACUGAGACCCGGCCCAAACUCCUACGGGAGGCAGCAGUAGGGAAUCUUCGGCAAUGGACGAAAGUCUGACCGAGCAACGCCGCGUGAGGGAAGAAGGUUUUCGGGUCGUAAAACUCUGUUGGUAGGGAAGAACGUUGGUGAGAGUGGAAAGCUCAUCAAGUGACGGUAACUACCCAGAAAGCGACGGCUAACUACGUG